ACCUGUUCCCAUGCCGAACACAGAAGUUAAGCUCCUUAGCGUCGAUGGUAGUCGAACUUACGUUCCGCUAGAGUAGAACGUUGCCAGGCA
rnacentral:rRNA from 60 species